rnacentral:lncRNA from 1 species
GAUUUCCAUGUCGGACUGACGUCAAUCUCAAAGAGAAAAUAGAUCUUUUUUUUCUCUCGUUCUAUUUUGUACGUGAAUAUGAAAGAGAAUCGAAAGAAUGGGAAGUUAGCGCACGGGGAAAUUGCAAGUUGAAGGGCGGACACACGCACGGGAAAAGUCGUGCUAAUCUAGCUACUGUUGUUACAGGUUCUCCAGUUGUUAUCGUGUUGCUGUCGUCAUUGUCCAUGUUGCCCUUCUUUCACCAGUUUGUCUUUUUCCUUUGCCAUUUUUUUCUAUUCGACAUUCGUCCCCCUUUGUUAGCCACACUCGUACCCUUGUUUAUUCACAAUGACUUUUGCACGAUAGAAUUGAUCAGACCUUCCAUCGCUCUAAAAAAAACUGUAGUUUUCAUGUCACAUACCAUCGAAGCUAAAAAAAAAAAAAGAGAGAAAGAAAUGAACGACAUGCCAAGAGAAAGGGGAAAAAAAGAAAAUGCGAGAAAUUUUACGCGAACGAGAAGGUCGCGACGCUUUGCCAACCAAAACGCUCGGAAUUUUUCUUUCUUUUUACAGCAUAUUUCGCUCGUGUAACUAAUGUGCUGCGUGUCGCUCGUAUACUUUCUUUCGCAUAAUUCUGCAAAGUCAUUCCUGUCAAUGGUGGAAAUCCCAAAAUCUUAGUAUCGUACGGUGGCCGCCAAAAGGUCGGAGCAAACACACCUUGAAUAAAACUAAAUGCACAUUUUUUUUCCCCUCACGUCUUACGCAACAAAUCUAUGAAUACAGCUGUAUGUGCAAACAGUAUAGAUGGUUACCUGUAUCCACUGUCAUUGAUGAUUUGCCAAGCGCACCUGGAUGGAUGCAGGCGUCGGACCAUAUCCGAAUCCUGCAAUGUGUCUUCAACGACCUUCGAAUGGACAGAGACGGAUUAAAAAGGAAUGUUUUCUGUACAUGCACGCUAUUCUCACCAUCAGCCUUGAGACUGUGUUUUGGUGGCUGAUUAUCACACUAUACUGGUGUUAUGGGUUCCCAAAUGAUUAGGGAAGCCACGGAGGUUGUUGAUUACAAAAGCAAAGAAGACAUUUCUAUUGGAGGGUCUUGGGGAAAAAAAAAAGUGAAUCACGUCUUCACAUAAGAUGAUGAAAGAAAAAAAAAACUGGGACCAUGUAUGAGCAUUCGUUUUAUUGUUUUUGAGUGAUAUAAGAAAGGAGGGGUGCGUCAGUGCCAGCUAGAGACUAAUGAACCUAUUUUUAAAGCCAAACUUUUUUUUUUUUUUACAUCCGCUCAGAUGGAGUGGAUGAUUUUUUUUUCGACUAUUCUGUGUUGUUAAUAUCCGCAUACUAAAAAAAACCAUUUGGUUGAUUUUUUUUUUUUUAAAUGGGAGGUAGUUUGUAUUCGUCCUUCAUAAAUCUCCAUAAUCGUGCCAACAUUUGUUCCUGAGUUAAGAUCUAAAAAAAAUAUAUAUGAAGAAAGUUCAUUCUUUAUGAAUUCCUUUGUUGCAUCAUUAAACACCGUUUAUGGGCAAUUUUUUCCACCAAUGAAAACAUAAAAAAAAAAUCUUUUCUUUAACCUGAAACUAGGAAGGUUUUCUAUUAAAACAUUUCGAGUCAUCCUCUCUUUUAUUUCAGGGCCAUGUUUGUACAUGUUCUUUUCAGUCAACUAUGUGACGUUUGAAAGAGUGCCCUUUGCUGUUGAAGCUAGUAACCUGAUCUAUUGUCUCGAUGGUGGUGCAAUCAGACGGAUUACCAUUUUUCUCUAUUGGCCUCGAUUCCGUGUUGGUGGCCGAGGUCGCUUGCCCAGCGACACAGUCAUCAAUGUCGCGAUGCGGCUCGAGUCGUCGGCCACUUGACGGAUGGCAGUCGUGUAAACGGGAGCUCUUGUACAAUCCAUAAAUUUUUAAAAACAUUUUCCUUUCAAGUCUGUAAAGCCAUGUCCUUCUGCGCAGCAAAAGCGCACUGGGACUUGGUUGAUAACAAAUCGAUGUUUGGCACCUUUUAUUUUUGUCAGCUCAUUGUGUAAACAAUUUUGUUCGAGAAUAAAAUUUGUAGGGUUUCA